rnacentral:rRNA from 1 species
AGUGAACGCUGGCGGUAGGUCUAACACAUGCAAGUCGAACGGCAGCACAGUAAGAGCUUGCUCUUACGGGUGGCGAGUGGCGGACGGGUGAGGAAUACAUCGGAAUCUACUUUUUCGUGGGGGAUAACGUAGGGAAACUUACGCUAAUACAGCAUACGACCUACGGGUGAAAGCAGGGGAUCUUCGGACCUUGCGCGAUUGAAUGAGCCGAUGUCGGAUUAGCUAGUUGGCGGGGUAAAGGCCCACCAAGGCGACGAUCCGCAGCUGGUCUGAGAGGAUGAUCAGCCACACUGGAACUGAGACACGGUCCAGACUCCUACGGGAGGCAGCAGUGGGGAAUAUUGGACAAUGGGCGCAAGCCUGAUCCAGCCAUACCGCGUGGGUGAAGAAGGCCUUCGGGUUGUAAAGCCCUUUUGUUGGGAAAGAAAAGCAGCAGGUUAAUACCCCGCUGUUCUGACGGUACCCAAAGAAUAAGCACCGGCUAACUUCGUG